GAUGAAGAACGCAGCGAAAUGCGAUAAUUAAUGUGAAUUGCAGAAUUUAGUGAAUCAUCGAGUCUUUGAACGCACAUUGCGCCUCAUGGUAUUCCGUGGGGCAUGCCUGUUCGAGCGUCAUUUACCCCCUCAAGCUCCGCUUGGUGUUGGGCGUCUGUCCCGCUUCGCGCGCGGACUCGCCCCAAAGGUAUUGGCAGCGGUCGUGCCAGCUUCUCGCGCAGCACAUUGCGCUUCUCGAGGCACCGGUGGGCCCGCGUCCAUCAAGCUCACCCCCCCAGUUUGACCUCGGAUCAGGUAGGGAUACCCGCUGAACUUAAGCAUAUCAAUAAGCGGAGGA
rnacentral:misc_RNA from 1 species